UUAUCUCAGCAGUAAAAAGCUGCAGCAGUUCUUGGAUUUGAACCCAGGUGUGCUGUGACAGCUUCAGAUGUCCUGCUGUGUGCUCUGACCACUACACCAUCACCACACACAUAAACCCACAUUUCUUUCUCCAAUGGGAGGAUAACCACAUUCUACACAUUUUGAAAAAAAAAAUUAAAUAAACACAAAUAAUUCAUAUCAAAUGUAAAUUAUUUUAAAUAAAUGUAAACUGCAUCAUAUGCGAAUAUAUUAUUAUAUUUCACUAUUCAAAAUGUGGAAAACAUGCUUAUUCUUCAAUCAGACACAUGAACAUGUUUCAAAUUAUCUUACAGCUGCUUGUGGGGCUUUAAAUGUCACUAAACACAAUUAAACACUGGAAAAUAUCAUCAUUUACUUCUAAAGUCUCCUCAUACUGUACUGAUGACUCUACACCAAAUCUGGCCAAUCACAUGCUCUCCACAGAAAGUCCCUCCCCCAACAAACACGCGACAGAGCAGCAGCACAACAAACACACUUUCUGGACUCUCUACUGGAAAUAUGAGCUCAUAAAUACCUUUCCUGGAGCUGUGAAUCCGCCUGGAUGUGGAGGAGCGUGUGGAGGAGCGUCAGCUGUUGAGCGCAGCUCAAAGAUCUGCAGCAGAAACACAACAGACACACGUGUGUAUCUUCACUGCUGCAGAGGAGAGAGAGAGAGAGAGCAAUGACUGAACACAAACACUACAACAACAUCACUACAAACUAAACCAACGAAGCAAAGUCCCUUACAGGAUCAGUGAAGUGUUGUGGACUGUAAGUCUGUUGAACAGAAGCAGAGACGAGUGGACAGACACUGACUGUACUGAUGAUGAUCAUCUGCUGCUGCACAGGCUAUAAAGUAUAACCCCUGCUGGACACGGCUCCGGAAGCUCCAGGGGGAGACCGAACUGGUAUCCCCCCUUCUUCAGGCGCGCCUCACACUCACUCACCAUUCACUCAUAUCGCAGAGUUCUGGCUGGCCUUGAACCAGCAACCCCUGAAGCCGUGGGGCAGCGCUCUUACCACAGAGCCACAGAUCUCCAUGUCUGAACACUUGCUGGAACUGAUGUUGGACUGCUGACCUGUGUGUGAGCUGAUUCAAUAAAACAAGAUAUAUGUCAGAUCUGAA